rnacentral:rRNA from 1 species
UACCGGAAGUUCCUGUAGAAGGCGCUAGAGGGACGAGGUCGGCGCCGGCGGCGCCGGCGGCGGUGACCAGGAGUCGGGAGGCGAGGACCAGGAAGAGGAAGGGAGUGGUGACCGGAGGGAGGACGUAGGAGACGGGACAGGUGGAAGCAGAGCGGUGGAGAAAGGUGAGGGUGGCUAGGUAUGGAGGACUUGAAAGUAGUUCUAGUGUAGAGGUUGGUGUAUUUCAAGUUCGAGCUAAGGCGACUUGUGUUGAUGUAGUUCACCGCGUGCAAAAAGUGGAAGCAGGAGGUUGUUGUAGCGUAGUAGCUAGUGCAGGUCGCGAGUGGGGCCCGGCGUGGGCUGCGGAGGACCGAGCGGAGCCGUGUGGCCGGCUAUAACGCGGCCAAGCCACGCUCGGCAGAUUAGGGAAGUCUAGCACACGGAGUCCGGGCGCGACCUUCCCCGGGUGCGUGACGUUGAAAUGGAAUAGAUAAGUGACUGCGAGGGUAGACGAGCGAGAAGGAGCGCUUUGCGUUAAAAGAGGAUAAGAAGAAGGGGUAGCGUGAGCGUGGUCUGUGGUACCGGGAUCGGCAAGAUCACGGCGACGUGAGGCUCCGAUACCGACGACGGUGGCCGCUAGCAUGGUGUCUAGCUCGUGUACCAAAGAGAUAUGCUGCCGCUGUAUGAGUCCGUGUAGAAAAAGGCAAAAACGACGUUGGCCGUGGCGACCUUCGAGGUUCGUCGCGGUCUCUUCGACCUUGGCAGGACCUUAAAACGAUGUUGGUCCGUCGUCGCUCGGAUGGUAGCUGAGGGCCUAAACGAUGUUGAUCCUUCUACUACUUCACACCGGCCGCUGCUGCUCGACGUUUCAACAACGUUGGCCGUCGCUUUUUCGAUGGUGGCCACUGGCUUAAACGACGUUGGCCGCUCGCCGCCACGCUGCUCACCGCUGUACCCCACUGGUGCCACUGGUCUUAAAAAACGAUGUUGCCCACGACAAAAACGACGGUGGCGCCACUGGUGCAUGACGUUCGCCACGCCGCUGUCCCUCGACGCUGGAGCUACUGCCUAUGACCUUGGCCGUACUAGGUAGCGUACCUACGACGUUGGCAAGCCCCUUUUCGAGGUAGGAGCUACCUGUUUCGAAGUAGGCAGCCCCUUUUUCGAAGUUGGAAGUCCUAUCUUCAACGAAAGGUUGCCCUCUACUUGCCCUCAACGCUUACCUCCGCUACCCCGCACGCGUACCGUCUCCUACGGCGCUAGCACCGACCUCUGGACGCACGACCACCACGCCCGCGCGUUGCGUAUCCUCUUGCUCUAGAUGUCCCCCUUGUACUAGAGUGGGCGUGAGGAGACACGUACCGGACGCACGGCGAAGAGAACCCUCGAGAGAGGAUAUAACGUGUGCGCCUAGAGCAGCCUCUUGGACUCCCCAGCGGCAGCUUCCCCUUCCUCACCUUCUCCUGCGACCGUACGUUCGACAUGCUCCACGUCUAGGUCGAUUUCCAGACGGUGCUGGGGCGGCGGACCUCCUCGCCGCGGGCUGGGGCGGGCUGCGAGCUAGACUACGUGACGUCUCCGGUGCUAGGUUCGGCGGGGAGUUCGGCCCGCGUGCGUGUAGGUUCUAGACCGGGCUUUGCGGCGUCGUUCCGUGGCAGCCUCCUCCCACUCGACCUGUGCUGGUGUGGCUAGGUCUCGGGCUUCGGGGCUGCGUCUAGGUGCGUCGGGGCAGUUCGACGGCGGCUCGAGCUGGGACAUCGUCCGGUGGCGAAGGCGCCGAGGUGGUAUCCGAGUCGGUUGGGGGGAGGGGGCGCGCGUUCGUGCCGGUGGUCCUCGGGUACACGUCGGCACGGCGUUGGCCGGCUGCUUGCGCUUCGUCGAGUGCCCGCUCUGCCGGACCCUUUAGCUUAGCAGGUCGACGACGUCUAACCCCCGCCAGUGUAGCUACUUCCUCUUCUCUCUCUACCCCACUUGCCUUGCUUGCGGUACCCGACCCUCCCUCCCCCACCUAGUCUUCCCGAGCACCACACACGACCCCGGUGCCUAUCUUUCUUCUCGUCCUUCUUCUCCCUUGGCCUAGGAGAUUGUAGGAGUUCCUACAGUGUGCGUAAAGUGACGUCGAAGCACUGUAGGAAACUCCUACAAUCUCCUAGGUGAAAACUUUUUCUCGUCGCGACU